rnacentral:tRNA from 1 species
GACUUCGUGGUAUAACGGUAGCACACUCGGAUUGUAUUCGAGAGGUCUGGGUUUGAGUCUCGGCGUGGGCA